AGCGGUGCCGGGAAGGGAGAGCCUUCCUCCCGCAGUCAUCCUGACAAGAGACGGAGCUGGGCCCGGGGGCGGCGGGAGCCGCGAUGGCAUAGAAGUCUCUGGGAGGAUAUAAAGCUUAGAGCAGAAGAAGAGGAUGAAGACAUUUCCUGUGUUCAGAAGAACCUUAUUCCUAGCUUUCUGAAUUUGUCCUGCUUUUUUGACAAAGCAGUUCCAGGUCACUUGGGAAAAAAGGGAGAAAGAAGAAUGAUCGGAAGAGAGAAGAGAAAGUCUGGUGAUUUCACUGUGGAAAACUCUUGAGAUCAUGGGGAAAAAAGGCCUGAAUUUCCAGUGUACAUCAAUAGCAUCAGUGAAAUCAGCGUGAAGAUCAGCAAAUCCAUGAUCUCCUCUUAUACAUCAUAAGGAACAACUUUUAUAUUGUUUGUUACCCAGAAAUCAUAAUAAGCAAAACCACAGGUCAGUUCUUACAUAGUAAGCCACUGAGUAUUUGUGACCUACCUUAAGCAGGUACAGCCUUCUAGCUGAAAAGUCAGCAUGUUGGAACUGCUAUGCAAUUCAGCUCCAAGAAAGAGGUGUUAUGAGAAACUCUUGAGUCUUCUGGGAGAAUAGUGUGGUAAACUACUGAAGAGAAAUCCUCAGAGCAGGCAAGCAAGGUCAGGUUUGCCUUGAGUGCUUGUUACAGGUGACAUGACUCCAGCA